rnacentral:rRNA from 1 species
GCUGGCGGUCACAGCGGCGGGGAAACUCCGGCACUCAUUCCGAACGCCGAAGAUAAGCCUGCCAGCGAUCUAGACUGUACUGUGUUCCGAGAGGGCACGGGAACUCCAGGACGCCGCCAGCC